rnacentral:rRNA from 1 species
GUCUACAGCCAUCCUACCCUGAACAUGUCCUAUUUCCUCUAUCUCAGAAGCUAAACAGGGUUGGGCCUGGUGCUCUAGGCU